rnacentral:lncRNA from 1 species
GGUAUAAAUACAUACCUCAUUCUUGGGAGCUUUAGUUUUAAAACACAAUAUAGUUUACUAAUUUGGAAGAUAGUAAUACAAUUUCAUCUAAUUAGCAUAAGGCAAAAGACCAAAUUGUGGUACCUAAUUUUACAAAAAUAUCAUUAAAACAUAUCAAAAUUACACACAAUGCCACUCCUUCUAAGGCAAGCAUACUAUGCCACAUGUCCAUAUCUAGCCAAUCAUAUCUCGCCGCCGGCCACCACCGCCGGCCACCACCGCCGGACCGCCGGCCACCUGCCACCACCACCGUUGACCGCCACCGCCCGUCGCCGACCACCACCGUCGGACUCCCGCCGCCGGCCACCUGCCACCACCACCGUUGGCCGCCAUCGCCUGCCACAAAGGAGGAAGGCUCACUCACAAACCACUACACCAAACUUGAUUUUGUAAUAUUUAUUCAAUUAUACAAUAUUUAUAUAAACAAUCAAUGGUUUAUUAAAAAAAAUAAAAAUAAAAAGCAUUUCAACACUU